AUGAGCCCCUGCCUCCUGGGCUGUGUGGUCUUCUGUCUCCUGCAGGCAGGGGCGGUCCAUGCUGGUGUCACUCAGGACCCCGGAUUCCAGGUGGUGAGGACAGGAGAGAGCGCGACACUGAGAUGCACUCAGGAUCUGAGCUUUAGCUAUAUGUACUGGUACCGACAAGACCCCGGACACGGGCUGAGGCUGAUCCAUUGCUCAGUUAUCCCUCCCGCCACGGAGAAAGGAGCCGUGCCCGAGGGCUACAGCGUCUCCAGACCAAGCACAGAGAACUUUCCUCUCACGCUGGAGUCCGCCAACGCCUCGCAGACAUCUGUGUACUUCUGCUCCUGCGGCCUGGUGGAUUCUGAAAUCACCCAGACCCCAAAUACCUGA